rnacentral:misc_RNA from 1 species
GAUGAAGAACGUAGCGAAAUGCGAUACUUGGUGUGAAUUGCAGAAUCCCGUGAACCAUCGAGUCUUUGAACGCAAGUUGCGCCCGAAGCCAUUAGGCCGAGGGCACGCCUGCCUGGGCGUCACACGUCGUUGCCCCCCCAUCUACUCCUUCGGGAUUGCGGGGGGCGGAUGAUGGCCUCCCGUGCGCCUCGUCGCGCGGUUGGCAUAAAUGCCAAGUCCUCGGCGACACACGCCACGACAAUCGGUGGUUGCGAAACCUCGGUUGCCCGUCGUGUGCGGUCGUCGCGCAUCGAGGGCUCGAAAAAAUUGCCGGGCUCCGGCUCGGCUUUCAACGCGACCCCAGGUCAGGCGGGAUUACCCGCUGAAUUUAAGCAUAUCAAUAAGCGGAGGA